AUGUCUGUAUUUGAACCUGGACCUAAAGUUUUAGAUUCAAAAGCCAUCACUUUAUCUUUCAGCUCCCCUCCAGGGUCUCCAGCACCAUAUGGCCAGCACUUGUCACAGGUGGCAGGCAUUUGGCUCCUUCAUAAGCACUGCUCCAGCUGUACCUACAGGCUUCUAGAGCUUGAAAGAAACUGCUCCUUUGGGCUCACUCCUCAGGAGGUUCUGCUUGAGUUCCUCCUGUUGUCUGGAUUCUGGAAUCUUGGCAAUGUCUGCAGAGUUGAUCUUCAAGAUGGCAGCGGAUAUGACUCAUAUCAGUGGAUAUGUCUAUCUGCUCUGUCUGGGAUCUUAGACUGCGGUGAUCCCACAGUGUACAUUUCCUGGUGUCUGUUGAGGUGAGCCAAGGGAUCCAAAUGCAUGCAUGCACACUUGUACUUGAUGUGACUGCACAAACCGUGUUUCCAGAGGGAAUUAGGCCACAGCGAUAUGAUGACUCUAAGGCCAUGAAGAACUUCAGUUCAGAGAUCUUGCAAGAUAACAGACUCAGAAGCAGGAGAUGUCCUCUAUUUAAUUUUUACAUGUUGAUUUUAAGUUCUGUUCAAAAAAGUUACUUUACUUUUCAUUUUCUUAAAGUAUUAUGUAUUUUUUGUACAGUUCUUUUAAGCAAAAUGUCAGUCUCUAGACAUUACCAGCCAGAGAGCCCUCCUGAGUACACUGGAUUGGUCUGAAAUACGGCACUAGCUAUUUCUUCCCUAAAUGAGUUUUAACACUAUCAAUGACAGUAGAGCACUUGCUGUUUUCAGGCCCUGUCACAAAGGCACUGAGUUUUAUUUGAGCUUUGUUAGGUUAAGUUAAACUGAAGAUAAAGUGAGGAACAAAACAUACAUGAGAUUAUGUUCAUACAGGUCUAUCUGAGAGAAGAAGAUGAAUCAAGAUUUUAUGUGCAUACUUGAGAAGGUCAUUUCAAGACACUUUUAUCCAGAUUUCUAAGGAGUGUGAGUUACAUAGCUGCAGUGUAUACUGGUGUCCUCUCCAAGACCUUUCAAAGCAUCUGGUAAUUUCAAGCAGAUCAAAUCGUAAAGAUCUAACAGAUAAUAGACCAAAUGUGUGCAAUCUUUCCAUUGCUCACAAGUGAGUAUAUGCUUGUGAGUAAAACUUUCCUUCUAUCUCCUUCUCUGGUCUUAGAUUGGCACGGUUGAGUGAAGUGCUUUUAAAUAGCAUCUUCCCUCCCAUUUUCCUCAUGUUCCUGGAGCUGCCGACCGUGCCAGACCACUUCUCACAGACAGUGAGUGCGAGCACUUGAGUACACAGCAAUUUCACACCAGUUGAACAGUAUUGCAGAUGUAAUGUUAAAAAAAGGGAUUUCUAUGCGUAUGAUGUCUUUUCCCUUUAAGAGAUGACCAGGCAGGUUUUUCAGCAGAAGCCAGAUUACUUGUGGAGAAAUGCUGCGGAAGAAGGGAAACGGAUUGUUGCCUAACUGGAUUAGAGCAUCACCUGCUUUCUGGACAGACUUUGAUACACAGUGAAACAUGGUCUGGAGGCAAUUCUGCUUUAUGCCAAUGCAAAGCACAACCUCAAUAGUUUAAAGGCACAUGUACGUAUGUAUACAUAACCCGUGUGUCACAGAUCUGGCUAAGCUCCCUGGCUAGACAUUGUCCAGACACAAGAACAUGUGUGCUUUAAGCCUUGAAGUCUGAACAAAAUCUGUAUAGCCCUGGGAUUAACUUCAAUCCUUGAGAUUUGUCCUUACUCCAGAUUACCUUUUCCCAAAUUUUAGCCAGCAUGAGCAUGCUGUUCUGCAACUCAUUUCUCAGAUGCAUGUGGUGAUGUAAACAAGUUAUUGUCUGCUAAAUAGAGCAAGAAAAUCUUCCUGCUUACCUAAAAUGAUAACUCCUGUUUAUACUCCCAGCGUGACUUUCUGUGACAACCUAAGAUGCUGCUGCAGCUCAUGAAUUUGCUUUUGUUUGGCUGCUCCCCCAGGAAAGUCACCUAUUCCCUUUUCAGAUACACUCAUCUCUUCUUUCUUCACUUCUCUCCCUCUCUCUCUGCUUUUUAUUUUUUUCAUGCCUGGCUUCCACAUCAUUGUUUUGCCUGUAGUAACUCUUCCUGGCUCCAAACUCCCUCUCCAUGGAGAAGUGAUCCUCUUAAACUUCAGUUUCUCACUGUCCCCAGUGUUUUCUUCUCAGCAGAUAACCAUUAAGAUUUAAUUACUAGCUGGCAUCUCUACUCUGGAAAGGCUGUAGUGCAGACCUUGGUCAGCAGUACAUGUGCAUGGGGAUAUCCCAAAGUACACCUGACUUCUUAGUAACAACUUCAUAAUAUCAGCCAGAGCUAAUAGAUUGUGCACAGACUUUCCUCUGCUUGAAAUGUAAAACACCGCUUCCUUAAUGCCCUGCAAUGCAGCUAUACAAACACACAAAUUUCCUUCUUCCUCUAGCUCAUUUGCUCUGCUCUCAAGCACCAAUUUAGAAUGACCGAUCUGGUUUUAAUCCAGAUGGCUUGAUGCUGUGGUCUCUCUCCCUCUUGCUAACCACCCUCUCUGCUCCUUCCCCUGCAAUUUGUCUGCACUCUGUGGAUCUGGUUUACAACCUUUGGGUAGGAAAGGCAUUCUGCUCCCUGACUGGAUAGCUGACAUUUGUGCUGCCAUUGUCUGCAAGUCUUUCAAGUCACUCGUAGAGACACGGUGCUUAAAGGCUGCUCCUCUGGGAAUGGCAUUAGAGCGGUGCUGAUUGUCUCACGAUGUGGCAUCACUCCUAUAGGUAGCAGGUAUUUUCCUGGCAGCUUGUCUUAACCUUUGAGUGGAAUAGCAUAGCUGAUAAGGGGUAAGGAGCUCUGAAAUGCAUUAGUAGAGCUCUGUGAGGAAACAUACGCAGCAUCUGCCUAGCUACAGCUCUGCCCAGUAUUGUAAUCAGGAUAUUGAUAAUCUACUGAGUACUUCUGAGACUUAAGGAAAAAAGCCAACAAACCACCACCAAAACUGCUCACGCUCUCAAGAUGUACGUGUGAAGAUAAUGAAUAUUAUUAUCCUCUCUUUAAAGACAGAGAGCCUGCGUGUAAAUGAUUUACCAAGGGCCCCAGAGGAGUCCGUGUUUGACUAGGGAGCUGAACUUUAAUUGUACCUGACUUUAAUCCUGUGUUCUGACUGUACCUCCCUCAUUACCUACCUGUCCAUUUUCAUUAGCACUUAUAUCCAUCACACUCAUUAAUAAAACUGAGAGGGUGUUUUAUCA
ensembl:lncRNA